rnacentral:rRNA from 1 species
GACGAACGCUGGCGGCAUGCCUAAUACAUGCAAGUCGAGCGAACAGAUGAAGUGCUUGCACUUCUGACGUUAGCGGCGAACGGGUGAGUAACACGUAAGGAAUCUACCUAUAAGCGGGGGAUAACAUUCGGAAACGGGUGCUAAUACCGCAUAAUAUCUUCUUCCGCAUGGAAGAAGAUUGAAUGACGGCUCUGCUGUCACUUAUAGAUGGCCUUGCGGUGCAUUAGUUAGUUGGUGGGGUAACGGCCUACCAAGACGAUGAUGCAUAGCCGACCUGAGAGGGUGAUCGGCCACAUUGGGACUGAGACACGGCCCAAACUCCUACGGGAGGCAGCAGUAGGGAAUCUUCCGCAAUGGGCGAAAGCCUGACGGAGCAAUGCCGCGUGAGUGAAGAAGGCCUUCGGGUCGUAAAACUCUGUUAUAAGAGAAGAACAAAUUGUAGAGUAACUGCUACAGUCUUGACGGUAUCUUAUCAGAAAGCCACGGCUAACUACGUGCCAGCAGCCGCCGUAA